AGUGUUUUCCAACGCAGGAGGUAUACGGGUGGGUAAAAUAGCAACACAGCUCUUUCGUUGCUAUUUUUAUCAACAACGAAGAGAGAGAAUGCGAGUAGGCAAUAAAACGAGGAAAUCACAACUGUCAUCUGCGCCCAAGCUUUCUUCCUUCCUUGCUCACUCUGCAAAUCGACUAUCUAAGAUGGAUCCUUCCCCAUAAGAUGAUUCAUAUCAACAAAUGUUGAUGAGCAAUGAGUUUCCAAUCAAUAGUGAUGAAGUGGAUUUUAACACCACAUUUAGGAUAGAAAAUGCCAAUGUAGAUGGUUCUAGAAUAGAGAAGAAAGGAUCAAGAACCAGAAAUUUUACUCAUGAUGAAGAUGUUCUAAUCAUGGCUGUAUAUCUCAACAAAGAUGCCAUCGUCGGAACCAAUCAACAAUCAAAUACAUUUUGGGGGAGGAUAUGCAAGUUCAUUGAGGACAAUGGAGAAAACAUAGUUACUCGUACUCAAUUAUCUGUGAAAAAGUUGUUGGACUAACAUCAAUAAGAAGUGCGCUAAGUUUGUAGGAUGUCUAAGUAAGAUUGAGAGGCUAAAUCAAAGUGGACAAACUAAGCAAGGAAGGCUUGUCGAGGCUCAAGAGCUUUAUAAAAUGGAAAUGGGAAAACCAUUUCAGUGCCAUCAUUGUUGGGAAUUAUUGAGAGAUGAUCCAAAAUGCCAAGCUUCCUUGUCAAGUAAGAAGCAAAAGGCCAAUACUGAAUCAAGCUCGGCUAUCCUUAGUGUUGUGAACUUAGAGGAUGAUAGUGAAGCUUCAGCUAACCAAGGAAGGCCUUUGGGUAGAAAAGCCUCAAAAAAACUACUCAAGGAAAAAAAAAGGGGGGAAAUGUUGCUCAAAACUCCACGUCAGUAUUCACACUGGAAUUUUGGGCAAAGAAGGAGGAUAAAGACCGAGCAAAAGCUGAGUGACAAGAGAGAGCACUAAAGCAACAUCAAGAGCAGCUGGAUAUUCAGGAAAAAUAUUAUGAGAUGGAGGUAAUGAACAAAGACACUACUAUUAUGGGUGUUGUAAAGGCAGUAUAUUAGAGCACUCACAUUGGUGUCUCUUAACAGAUAAACACCACCUUUGACAG